rnacentral:lncRNA from 1 species
GAUUUUAAAAGUGCAUAUGUGUACAGAGUUUUGCAAUUAAUAAUAUUUGUAUAACACAUAAAGAGAAGCUCGCUCUCAUGAUCUUGAAGCAACUAAUGGCUUGAAGGACGAAGGAAGCUCGCACACCGGCCCAUAUGGUCACUUUAGGCAGCUCGUCGUUAUUCUUACUGGUUACCUCCCAAGACUCCCUUCUUCUCUGAAGCUGAGCGCUUCUUCUUCCUGCUCUUUGAGUUGUCAUCAUCGUCGUCAUGGUCAGAGUCGUGGUCGGAGUGGGAAUCAUGGUCGGAGUCUGAAUCAGAAUCGUGGUCGGUGUCGGAUCGUCCAGACUAAGAUGUACUCACCCGUUGCAAUUUUCCACCUACAGUGUACGCAAUUAACCGCUCCUGCCAGGGUUACCCGUGCACAUGCUACAUAGCCAUUCUUCCUCUUCUUGCUUCUUUGGCCAAAUAUGUUCUCUGCUCCAGUAACACCCAGGCGUGCACCUUGUACAGGGUUGCUCCAGCCUUGCCAUCUUAACGAGUAUAUAUGGUCAUGCCUUCCCCUCCUCCGAUCCAGUGGAAAAAUCAUUUCUGAGUAAUACAUUUGCGACGGAAGAAGUGGACUGUGAACAUCUGCAAUAGCAUGAUGACUAGCAUAAGACACUGAAUACUUUUCAGAUACAUAGUUGCACAUGGCAGCUAAAAUUUUCGUUUUUGUUGCAAAGCUUAGGGACGCAAACUCGGGCACGACUACACACUCGAACGCGUGGCUGGCGAACUUCUAUAAUUACAGAGGCCAUGGAUAAAUAAUGUGUCACUCCACUACAUCUACAGUUGAAGCAAGUACAAAGGGAAACUGAAUUUCCUGUUCCACUGAUGUUCACAUCCACCUGCAAUCUCAUGUAUAUACGCACAAAACAUAGGUUGUUUUCAGAAAACCAGCAAAACUGAAGCAAGGGGUCUGUUCUGUUCAUAAAACAUAUUUUUCACAAGAUAUUGAAACGACACAUGAAACACCGAUGCAGCAGAGAUAUAUCCGGGCAGGAAAAAACGUUACACUUCUACAAGAAAGAAGAAAAACAUCUUCCUAAAUCGCUACAAGAUGAACCGACUACAAGACGUAUGUAGUACAGAAUUACCAGGGGCGACAAAACAAAGUCUCCUUAGGCUAGAAUAACAAGAUGCCAACAACCAUGAACCCCCAGCCUGCCAAAGAAAAACAAACAUUAACGGGCCUGAUCAGUUAAGUUACUGCAAGAGAGACCAAGCAAGAAUUAUGUCAGUACAAGAUGCUUCGGACCAUGAGCCAGUUAAAUGACUGUGUGCGCUAAAAACCUGUAAUCAUGAAUAGAUGACUGUGUGUGCUCUGGCUAGCCAGAAAUGGGACCUGGCACUAUAUGUACACAAAGCUACCCUAUGUGAACAAAAGAAGCUUAUGUUUUUUUUAGCCAGAGUAGGCCUACUUGGCUAAAGUAUCCAAAUACUCUUCUCAUGAUAGCAUGAAGUGUCCUUAAUUUAGCACAAUAUCCAAAAGAAUUGCUGUAGGCCAACUGUCUUCCGCUAAACGUUGAAAUUGUAGGUCAACUGAAUAUACCCGCCACUGUGUUUGUUUUAGGGGAAUAAGUAUGUUUCCUACUCAUCAUGUUGUUUUAGGAAAUGGGCGAUCUCUGAAUUUCCGCCCAAAAUAUAAUAGCGUCAAACACGUGCAUAAUUUGGAAGAUCCUACACAAAGGGUACAUAACCACUUACCAGUCAGCAGUAAACCCAUGCCUGUUGCCAAAAACGAAGCAUGCUUAUUACAUUCACUGUAAAAAGCAAGUGGUAGUUCUAGUGCCAUAUGACUCAGCAAAACAAGGCCAGAUGAUCACUUGCACAUCGAUGUCCCGAUUAGUCAAGCAUAAGAAUAUCUGCUGAAACUACCUCUGAUUUGCUACAGUGCUACCCAUGUGUGCAAAUUAUACAGAGUUGCUCCAGCCUUGCAAUCUCUGAGCUUUCACCUGAAUAGAGUUGCUCCAGCAUAGCUGACUCUCUAGCUUCCGAGAUCGUUUUCAGGUAAAUCAUUUUUGCAAGAAAAAAAAUGCCUGUUGCAAAAAAUCAUUUCCGAGUCAUAAAUUUUGAUGGAAGAAAUGCACUGUGAGCAUCUGCAAUAACAUAAAUACGUCGACAUCUAAAAAAAAAAAUCCUUUUUCAGGUGAUACGAUCUUUUCAGGUAAAUGAGGAGACACUAAACAGGUGAUACACUCUAUUCAGACAGUUGCACAAGACAGCAGAAAAAAUGCUCUUUCUUGCAAAGCUAGGGGCGCAAAUGUGGGCAAGACUGCACGCUCAAAUGCGUAGCUGGCAAACUUCUAUAAUUGCAAAUACCAGAACGAAUGUGUGAGUCCACCCACAGAGUUUGACCUAACAUUUUUAAGAAACAAGCGCAAGGUCCCUUUGUACAUCCAGUCAGGGCUUAAUGACGUUCUUCUGAAACCCAAAGGAAAAUAAAUUGUGUCCUUAAUGAGCUGAUCUGUCCGUGUUUUUAACUUAUCCAGUUAUAGUUUACAUGGUCAAACAAUAGAUGAUGCAAGCCCAAAGGGAAGACCAUGGAAAUUCCUGCACCACUGAUGUUCACAUUUACCUGCAACCUAUACGCACAAAGAUAGGUUCGGUUUUUUUUAAACAAGAUAACAUACUAAAACCGGAAAAAGGGGUUUGUUCUGUUCAUAAAGUAUGCAAUCCAACUAACAUUGUACCAGCAACCAGCACAUUCAAACAAGAAAACCCAGCAGUCACACCUAAAAGAACAGUAAAUGCUAUUCUAUUUGCUGAGAAAGGCUAGUCCAUCAUAGUUCAGAUGAUAACAACCACAACCCAACAUUUUCAAACUUCCUAGUAAAUAUAUCUCCUUGACUACUUCCAAGGUUCCCACUUUCCCAGUAGCUUCCUGUGGGAAAAUGGCCACAAAUAAUAUGCUUGACUGACUCUGCCUCUCCCGGGAGGUCUGAUUUGCAUUGUCCAAAGGCAACCCAUCCACUGCUUUGCUUCCAUUAUCCCAGCUCCAUAGUUCGCUAUAGCAAUGGAUCCCCUUCCCAUACACACAAUCAUCUGCCUUGUUUGUUGGUCAUUUUGGUUAUUCCCAUUGUGUGCAUCAUCCAGCAGCCGCCUUCUUCCCGACAAGCCGCUUUCUGCUGGAAGCACCAUCACCUCCGACGACGGCACUUUCGCCCUGGGAUUCUUCUCCCCGUCCAGCUCCGGCAAAAAACAUUACUACGUCGGAAUAUGGUACAAGAACAUACCCAAAGACAAUGUUGUGUGGGUUGCCAACCGUGCUAUGCCAAUCGCUAAUCCUUCUUCUGCAACACUGGCCUUCACAAACGGAUCCAAUCUGGCCCUGUCAGACACCAACGGCCAGCUUCUCUGGAUGUCAGAUAUCAGCGCCGCAGGAAAUUCAUCGUCAGAGGCAACUGGUGGAGAAGCCACGCUUGAUAACAAUGGGAAUUUUAUCCUUCGGUCAUCACAGGGCAUCAUCUUAUGGCAAAGCUUCGAUUACCCGACCGACACUCUCCUUCCAGGUAUGAACCUCAGGAUCACCCACAAGACGCAUGCACUACAACAGCUCGUCUCUUGGAGAAACACCCAAGACCCAUCCACGCGCAACUUCUCAUAUGGUGCACACCCUGAUGAGUUUCUGCGGCGUUUUUCAUGGAAUGGUUCGACACCAUACUGGCAAAGUCCAGAGUGGAAUAACUAUUUGUUAGUAGGGCGGUACGUCGAGAGUGUCAGAUCCACAAUUCACUUCACACUGAAUACUAUUGAUGAUGAGGCGUACAUUUCCUUUGGACUACCAGAACCAAGUGUCUCCUUAGUGCUACUGAAGAUGGACUACUCAGGCAAGAUGAAGUUACGAACCUGGAAUAGCAACAUGUCCAAAUGGACUGACCUGCGUGUUGGAAAUAUGCCCUAGAGGCAAUAAUAAAUGGUUAUUAUUAUAUUUCUGUGUUCAUGAUAAUAGUCUAUUAUUCAUGCUAUAAGUGUAUUGUCCGGAAAUCGUAAUACAUGUGUGAAUACAUAGACCACAACUUGUCCCUAGUAAGCCUCUAGUUGACUAGCUCGUUGAUCAACAGAUAGUCAUGGUUUCCUGACUAUGGACAUAGGAUGUCAUUGAUAACGGGAUCACAUCAUUAGGAGAAUGAUGUGAUGGACAAGACCCAACUUAAGCAUAGCAUAAAAGAUCGUGUAGUUUCGUUUGCUAGAGCUUUUCCAAUGUCAAGUAUCUUUUCCUUAGACUAUGAGAUCGUGCAACUCCCGGAUACCGUAGGAGUGCUUUGGGUGUGCCAAACGUCACAACGUAACUGGGUGACUAUAAAGGUGCAUUACGGGUAUCUCCGAAAGUGUCUGUUGGGUUGGCACGGAUCGAGACUGGGAUUUGUCACUCCGUGUGACGGAGAGGUAUCUCUGGGCCCACUCGGUAAUGCAUCAUCAUAAUGAGCUCAAUGUGACUAAGGCGUUAGUCACGGGAUCAUGCAUUGCGGUACGAGUAAAGAGACUUGCCGGUAACGAGAUUGAACUAGGUAUUGGGAUACCGACGAUCGAAUCUCGGGCAAGUAACAUACCGAUUGACAAAGGGAAUUGUAUACGGAUUGAUUGAAUCCUCGACACCGUGGUUCACCCGAUGAUAUCAUCGUGGAACAUGUGGGAGCCAACAUGGGUAUCCAGAUCCCGCUGUUGGUUAUUGACCGGAGAGGCGUCUCGGUCAUGUCUGCAUGUCUCCCGAACCCGUAGGGUCUACACACUUAAGGUCCGGUGACGCUAGGGUUGUAGAGAUACAUGUAUGCGGAAACCCGAAAGUUGUUCGGAGUCCCGGAUGAGAUCCCGGACGUCACGAGAGGUUCCGGAAUGGUCCGGAGGUGAAGAAUUAUAGGAAGUCCAGUUUCGGCCACCGGAAAAGUUUCGGGGGUUAUUGGUAUUGUACCGGGACCACCGGAAGGGUCCCGGGGGUCCACCGGGUGGGGCCACCUGUCCCGGAGGGCCCCGUGGGCUGAAAGUGGAGGGGAACCAGCCCCUAGUGGGCUGGGGCGCCCCUAGGGUUGGGAACCCUAGGGGGGGAGUUCCCCCUUGCCUUGGGGGGCAAGGCAACCCCUUCCCUCCUUGGCCGCCGCCCCCCCUUGGAGAUCCCAUCUCCUAGGGCUGGCGCACCCCCCCAGGGGCCUAUAUAAAGGGGGGGGAGGGCAGUACACUACAGCCUUUGGCGCCUCCCUCCUCCCCUGCAACACCUCUCUCUCUCUCGCAGAAGCUCGGCGAAGCCCUGCCGGAGAGCCGCUACAUCCACCACCACGCCGUCGUGCUGUUGGAUCUCCAUCAACCUCUCCUUCCCCCUUGCUGGAUCAAGAAAGGAGGAGACGUCGCUGCACCGUACGUGUGUUGAACGCGGAGGUGCUGUACGUUCGGCACUCGGUCAUCGGUGAUUUGGAUCACGGCGAGUACGACUCCGUCAUCCACGUUCAUUGGAACGCUUCCGCUCGCGAUCUACAACGGUAUGUAGAUGCACUCCCUUCCCCUCGUUGCUAGUAGACUCCAUAGAUGCAUCUUGGUGAGCGUAAGAAAAUUUUAAAAUUAUGCUACGAUUCCUAACAGUGGCAUCAUGAGCCAGGUCUAUGCGUAGUUACUAUGCACGAGUAGAACACAAAGUAGUUGUGGGCGUUGAGUUUGCCAAUUCUUCUUACCGCUACUAGUCUUUUCUUGUUUCGGCGGCAUUGUAGGAUGAAGCGGCCCGGACCGACCUUACACGUACUCUUACGUGAGACAGGUUCCACCGACUAACAUGCACAAGUUGCAUAAGGUGGCUAGCGGGUGUCUGUCUCUCCUACUUUAGUCGGAACAGAUUCGAUGAAAAGGGUCCUUAUGAAGGGUAAAUAGAAAUUGGCAAAUCACGUUGUGGUCAUACGUAGGUAAGAAACGUUCUUGCUAGAAACCUACAAACCACGUAAAAACUUGCAACAACAAUUAGAGGACGUCUAACUUGUUUUUGCAGCAAGUGCUAUGUGAUGUGAUAUGGCCAGAAGAUGUGAUGAAUGAUAUAUGUGAUGUAUGAGAUUGAUCAUAUUCUUGUAAUAGGAAUCACGACUUGCAUGUCGAUGAGUAUGACAACCGGCAGGAGCCAUAGGAGUUGUCUUUAUUAUUUUGUAUGACCUGCGUGUCAUUGAAUAACGCCAUGUAAUUUACUUUACUUUAUUGCUAAACACGUUAGCUAUAGAAGUAGAAGUAAUCGUUGGCGUGACGACUUCAUGAAGACACAAUGAUGGAGAUCAUGAUGAUCGAGAUCAUGGUGUCAUGCCGGUGACAAAGAUGAUCAUGGUGCCCCGAAGAUGGAGAUCAAAGGAGCAUAAUGAUAUUGGCCAUAUCAUGUCACUAUUUGAUUGCAUGUGAUGUUUAUCAUAUUUUUGCAUCUUAUUUGCUUAGAACGACGGCAGCAAGUAGGAUGAUCCCUUAUAAUAAUUUCAAGAAAGUGUUCACCCUAACUGUGCACCGUUGCGAAGGUUCGUCGUGUCGAAGCACCACGUGAUGAUCGGGUGUGAUAGAUUCUUACGUUCGAAUACAACGGGUGUUGAUGAGCCUAGCAUGUACAGACAUGGCCUCGGAACACACGCAAUACACUUAGGUUGACUUGACGAGCCUAGCAUGUACAGACAUGGCCUCGGAACACGGAGGACCGAAAGGUCGAGCAUGAGUCGUAUAGAAGAUACGAUCAACAUGAAGAUGUUCACCGAUCUUGACUAGUCCGUCUCACGUGAUGAUCGGACACGGCCUAGUUGAGCUCGGAUCAUGUUUCACUUAGAUGACUAGAGGGAUGUCUGUCUGAGUGGGAGUUCAUUAAUAAUUUGAUUAGAUGAACUCAAUUAUCAUGAACUUAGUCUAAAAUCUUUACACUAUGUCUUGUAGAUCAAAUGGCCAACGUUGUCCUCAAUUUCAACGCGUUCCUAGAGAAAACCAAGCUGAAAGAUGAUGGCAGCAACUAUACGGACUGGGUCCGGAACCUAAGGCUCAUCCUUAUAGUAGCCAAGAAAGAUUAUGUCUUAGAAGCACCGCUAGGUGAUGCACCAAUCCCACAGAACCAAGACGUUAUGAACGCUUGGCAAUCACGUGCUGAUGAUUACUCCCUCGUUCAGUGCGGCAUGCUUUACAGCCUAGAACCGGGUCUCCAAAAGCGUUUUGAGAAACAUGGAGCAUAUGAGAUGUUCGAGGAGCUGAAACUAGUUUUUCAAGCUCAUGCCCGGGUCGAGAGAUAUGAUGUCUCCGACAAGUUCUUCAGCUGUAAAAUGGAGGAGAACAGUUCUGUUAGUGAGCACAUACUCAGAAUGUCUGGGUUGCACAACCGCUUGUCUCAGCUGGGAGUUAAUCUCCCGGAUGACGCGGUCAUUGACAGAAUCCUCCAGUCGCUUCCACCAAGCUACAAGAGCUUUGUGAUGAACUACAAUAUGCAGGGGAUGGAAAAGACCAUUCCCGAGGUAUAUUCAAUGCUGAAAUCAGCGGAAGGGGAGAUCAGAAAAGAACAUCAAGUGUUGAUGGUGAAUAAAACCACCAAGUUCAAGAAGGGCAAGGGUAAGAAGAACUUCAAGAAGGACGGCAAGGGAGUUGCCGCGCCCGGUAAGCCAGUUACUGGGAAGAAGUCAAAGAAUGGACCCAAGCCCGGGACUGAGUGCUUUUAUUGCAAGGGAAGUGGUCACUGGAAGCGGAACUGCCCCAAAUAUUUAGCGGACAAGAAGAAGGCCGGCAACACCCAAGGUAUAUGUGAUAUACAAGUAAUUGAUGUGUACCUUACCAGUACUCGUAGUAGCUCCUGGGUAUUUGAUACCGGUGCGGUUGCUCAUAUUUGUAACUCAAAUCAGGAACUACGGAAUAAACGGAGACUGGCAGAGGACGAGGUGACGAUGCGCGUCGGGAAUGGUUCCAAGGUCGAUGUGAUCGCCGUCGGCACGCUACCUCUGCAUCUACCCACGGGAUUAGUUAUAAACCUCAAUAAUUGUUAUUUAGUGCCAGCUUUGAGCAUGAACAUUGUGUCUGGAUCUCGUUUAAUUCGAGAUGGCUACUCAUUUAAAUCCGAGAAUAAUGGUUGUUCUAUUUAUUUGAGAGAGAUGUUUUAUGGUCAUGCCCCGCUGGUCAAUGGUUUAUUUUUGAUGAAUCUCGAACAUGAUGUUACACAUGUUCAUAGUGUGAAUACCAAAAGAUGUAAAGUUGAUAACGAUAGUCCCACAUACUUGUGGCACUGCCGGCUUGGUCACAUUGGUGUCAAGCGCAUGAAGAAGCUCCAUGCAGAUGGACUUUUGGAGUCUCUUGAUUACGAAUCAUUUGACACGUGCGAACCAUGCCUUAUGGGUAAGAUGGCCAAGACUCCGUUCUCCGGAACAAUGGAGCGAGCAACCAACUUAUUGGAAAUCAUACAUACCGAUGUGUGUGGUCCAAUGAGUGUUGAGGCUCGCGGAGGAUAUCGUUAUGUUCUCACUCUCACUGAUGAUUUAAGUAGAUAUGGAUAUGUCUACCUGAUGAAACACAAGUCUGAAACCUUUGAAAAGUUCAAGGAAUUUCAGAGUGAGGUUGAGAAUCAACGUGACAGGAAAAUAAAAUUCUUACGAUCAUAUCGUGGUGGAGAAUAUUUAAGUCACGAAUUUGGUACACACUUAAGGAAAUGUGGAAUAGUUUCACAACUCACGCCGCCUGGAACACCUCAAAGAAAUGGUGUGUCCGAACGUCGUAAUCGCACUCUAUUGGAUAUGGUGCGAUCUAUGAUGUCUCUUACCGAUUUACCGCUCUCAUUUUGGGGUUAUGCUUUAGAGACUGCCGCAUUCACUUUAAAUAGGGCACCGUCGAAAUCCGUUGAAACGACACCGUAUGAAUUAUGGUUUGGGAAGAAACCUAAGCUGUCGUUUCUAAAAGUUUGGGGAUGCGAUGCUUAUGUCAAGAAACUUCAACCUGAAAAGCUCGAACACAAAUCGGAAAAAUGCGUCUUCAUAGGAUACCCUAAGGAAACUAUUGGGUAUACCUUCUACCUCAGAUCCGAAGGCAAGAUCUUCGUUGCCAAGAACGGGUCCUUUCUAGAGAAGGAGUUUCUCUCGAAAGAAUUGAGUGGGAGGAAAGUGGAACUUGAUGAGGUGAUAGUCACCCCUUCCGAACCGGAAAGUAGCGCAACGCGGGAAAAUGUUCCUGUGGUGCCUACACCGACUGAGGAGGAAGUUAAUGAUGAUGAUCAUGAAGCUUCGGAUCAAGUUGCCACUGAACUUCGUAGGUCCACAAGGACACGUUUCGCACCAGAGUGGUACGGCAACCCUGUCCUGGAAAUCAUGUUGUUAGACAACGGUGAACCUUCGAACUAUGAAGAAGCGAUGGCGGGCCCGGAUUCCGACAAAUGGCUAGAAGCCAUGAAAUCCGAGAUAGAAUCCAUGUAUGAAAACAAAGUAUGGACUUUGACUGACUUGCCCGAUGAGCGGCGAGCCAUAGAAAACAAAUGGAUCUUUAAGAAGAAGACGGACGCAGAUGGUAAUGUGACCAUCUACAAAGCUCGACUUGUCGCUAAGGGUUAUCGACAAGUUCAAGGGGUUGACUACGAUGAGACUUUCUCGCCCAUAGCGAAGCUGAAGUCCGUCCGAAUAAUGUUAGCAAUUGCCGCAUACUAUGAUUAUGAGAUAUGGCAGAUGGACGUCAAAACGGCAUUCCUUAACGGCUUCCUUAAGGAAGAGUUGUAUAUGAUGCAGCCGGAAGGUUUUGUCGAUCCUAAGAAUGCUAACAAAGUGUGCAAGCUCCAGCGCUCAAUCUAUGGGCUGGUGCAAGCAUCUCGGAGUUGGAACAUUCGCUUUGAUGAGAUGAUCAAAGCGUUUGGGUUUACACAGACUUAUGGAGAAGCCUGUGUUUACAAGAAAGUGAGUGGGAGCUCUGUAGCAUUUCUCAUAUUAUAUGUGGAUGACAUAUUAUUGAUGGGAAAUGAUAUAGAAUUCUUGGAAAGUAUAAAGGCCUAUUUGAAUAAGUGUUUUUCAAUGAAGGACCUUGGAGAAGCUGCUUACAUAUUAGGCAUCAAGAUCUAUAGAGAUAGAUCAAGACGCCUCAUUGGUCUUUCACAGAGUACAUACCUUGACAAGAUAUUGAAGAAGUUCAGUAUGGAUUAGUCCAAGAAGGGGUUCUUGCCUGUAUUGCAAGGUGUGCAAUUGAGCACGGCUCAAUGCCCGACCACGGCAGAAGAUAUAGAAGAGAUGAGUGUCAUCCCCUAUGCCUCGGCCAUAGGGUCUAUUAUGUAUGCCAUGCUGUGUACCAGACCUGAUGUAAACCUUGCCGUAAGUUUGGUAGGAAGGUACCAAAGUAAUCCCGGCAAGGAACACUGGACAGCGGUCAAGAAUAUCCUGAAGUACCUGAAGAGGACUAAGGAUAUGUUUCUCGUUUAUGGAGGUGACGAAGAGCUCGUCGUAAAGGGUUACGUCGACGCUAGCUUCGACACAGAUCCGGAUGACUCGAAGUCACAGACCGGAUACGUGUAUAUUUUGAAUAGAGGAGCAGUAAGCUGGUGCAGUUGCAAGCAAAGCGUCGUGGCGGGAUCUACAUGUGAAGCGGAAUACAUGGCAGCCUCGGAGGCAGCACAGGAAGCAGUCUGGAUGAAGGAGUUCAUUACCGACCUAGGGGUGAUUCCCAAUGCGUCGGGCCCGAUGACUCUCUUCUGUGACAAUACUGGAGCUAUUGCCCUUGCGAAGGAGCCCAGGUUUCACAGGAAGACCAGGCAUAUCAAGCGUCGCUUCAACUCCAUUCGUGAAAGUGUUCAAAAUGGAGACAUAGAUAUUUGUAAAGUACACACGGACCUGAAUGUAGCAGAUCUGUUGACUAAACCUCUCCCUAGGGCAAAACAUGAUCAACACCAGGACGCAAUGGGUGUUCGAUUCAUCACAAUGUAACUAGAUUAUUGACUCUAGUGCAAGUGGGAGACUGUUGGAAAUAUGCCCUAGAGGCAAUAAUAAAUGGUUAUUAUUAUAUUUCUGUGUUCAUGAUAAUAGUCUAUUAUUCAUGCUAUAAGUGUAUUGUCCGGAAAUCGUAAUACAUGUGUGAAUACAUAGACCACAACCUGUCCCUAGUAAGCCUCUAGUUGACUAGCUCGUUGAUCAACAGAUAGUCAUGGUUUCCUGACUAUGGACAUAGGAUGUCAUUGAUAACGGGAUCACAUCAUUAGGAGAAUGAUGUGAUGGACAAGACCCAACUUAAGCAUAGCAUAAAAGAUCGUGUAGUUUCGUUUGCUAGAGCUUUUCCAAUGUCAAGUAUCUUUUUCUUAGACCAUGAGAUCGUGCAACUCCUGGAUACCGUAGGAGUGCUUUGGGUGUGCCAAACGUCACAACGUAACUGGGUGACUAUAAAGGUGCAUUACGGGUAUCUCCGAAAGUGUCUGUUGGGUUGGCACGGAUCGAGACUGGGAUUUGUCACUCCGUGUGACGGAGAGGUAUCUCUGGGCCCACUCGGUAAUGCAUCAUCAUAAUGAGCUCAAUGUGACUAAGGCGUUAGUCACGGGAUCAUGCAUUGCGGUACGAGUAAAGAGACUUGCCGGUAACGAGAUUGAACUAGGUAUUGGGAUACCGACGAUCGAAUCUCGGGCAAGUAACAUACCGAUUGACAAAGGGAAUUGCAUACGGAUUGAUUGAAUCCUCGACACCGUGGUUCACCCGAUGAUAUCAUCGUGGAACAUGUGGGAGCCAACAUGGGUAUCCAGAUCCUGCUGUUGGUUAUUGACCGGAGAGGCGUCUCGGUCAUGUCUGCAUGUCUCCCGAACCCGUAGGGUCUACACACUUAAGGUCCGGUGACGCUAGGGUUGUAGAGAUACAUGUAUGCGGAAACCCGAAAGUUGUUCGGAGUCCCGGAUGAGAUCCCGGAUGUCACGAGAGGUUCCGGAAUGGUCCGGAGGUGAAGAAUUAUAGGAAGUCCAGUUUCGGCCACCGGGAAAGUUUCGGGGGUUAUCGGUAUUGUACCGGGACCACCGGAAGGGUCCCGGGGGUCCACCGGGUGGGGCCACCUGUCCCGGAGGGCCCCGUGGGCUGAAAGUGGAGGGGAACCAGCCCCUAGUGGGCUGGGGCGCCCCCUUGGGCCUCCCCCCCAUGCGCCUAGGGUUGGGAACCCUAGGGGGGGGNNNNNNNNNNNNNNNNNNNNNNNNNNNNNNNNNNNNNNNNNNNNNNNNNNNNNNNNNNNNNNNNNNNNNNNNNNNNNNNNNNNNNNNNNNNNNNNNNNNNNNNNNNNNNNNNNNNNNNNNNNNNNNNNNNNNNNNNNNNNNNNNNCACCCCCCCAGGGGCCUAUAUAAAGGGGGGGGAGGGAGGGCAGUACACUACAGCCUUUGGCGCCUCCCUCCUCCCCUGCAACAUCUCUCUCUCUCUCGCAGAAGCUCGGCGAAGUCCUGCCGGAGAGCCGCUACAUCCACCACCACGUCGUCGUGCUGUUGGAUCUCCAUCAACCUCUCCUUCCCCCUUGCUGGAUCAAGAAAGGAGGAGACGUCGCUGCACAGUACGUGUGUUGAACGCGGAGGUGCUGUACGUUCGGCACUCGGUCAUCGGUGAUUUGGAUCACGGCGAGUACGACUGCGUCAUCCACGUUCAUUGGAACGCUUCCGCUCACGAUCUACAACGGUAUGUAGAUGCACUCCCUUCCCCUCGUUGCUAGUAGACUCCAUAGAUGCAUCUUGGUGAGCGUAAGAAAAUUUUAAAAUUAUGCUACGAUUCCUAACACUGCGAUCAGAACCUAAACAGGAAUGCAACAAAUUUGGUUACUGUGGUCCAUUCGGUUACUGCGACAACACGCAGCCUAUUGCGACAUGCAAGUGUAUUGAUGGCUUUGAGCCAAACAACAAGCAAGACUGGACGGCCCACAGGUUUUCACAGGGAUGCCACCGGAUGGAAGCAUUAAGAUGUGGUCAGCGGGAUGGCUUCUUAAAUUUGCCAAGCAUGAAGGUUCCCCACGAGUCCUUGCAUGUUAAGAAUAUAAGCUUAGAUGAAUGCAUAGCAGAAUGCACCAGCAACUGCUCCUGCACGGCGUAUGCUUUCGCCAAUACGAGCACCAAGGACAUCAAUGGGGAUGAAACUAGGUGCCUAUUAUGGAACGGAGAUUUGAUUGACACAGAGAAGCUCAUUGGACAAGGGCAAAACCUCUAUAUCCGGGUUAAUGGAUUGAGUGGUACAGUCUACUGUCUCUGCUUCUCUGCUUGCGUUAGUAGAUAUACCCUCUAUUUUAUGGGUCCAAUGGAGCUCCAGUAAUAUCUCCCUUAGUACUAUUUACAAUGUCAGUACAAGUAAGGUUUAAAUUAGUAGUGGCGGGAAAAGAUUAGAGGGUAAAGAAUUGAUAAUGCCAUGAUGGAACAGUUUGGCGCAGCAUAUAUGCUGUCUGUGAAUCACUACAAUAUUUUUAAUACGAAAACAUAACAGUUUAUCCAAUUGGAGGGUGCAGAUUAGCAGCAACUUGGAUGCAGAAUGAAAAUAUGAGCCUGCAGGAGUUGGCAAUACUGCAUAAUUUAUCAAGGAACAACUUCUAAUACAUGUUUCAGACAUCUGAGGUGGCUGGAAACAUUUGGCCAGCAGCCAACAUAGUAGUUCCAAAGUCUAUAUAUAUCCAAUCUCAGUCAAUGUAUAGGAAGUGAGCCUAGCUCAUAUGGGCGGGAGAGUGAAUGUACAGUCCCACCGCCCUCGUCCGAGUCCUGUUUUAUUGGACUUGAAUUUGGGUUACUAUCUAUUUCCUAUUAAUAGAAAAUGUAGUUGCUCCUACAAGUUCAUACAAUCCAAGUCAAUAUACAAGAUAUACAUACCUAUAGAAGGAAACCUUCAAGUUUUGGCAUAAGUUGUCUAUGCCAUCUGAUUAUAUUGUAUAAAAAAAUUGGGAAUGACAACCACUCCAUCCAGUUCAACAUAACAUGUUGUGUGAGAUUUUAAUUUGAAGUGUCAAGCAGAAGUUUUGUAUGUCCAAAAUGUUACCAUACUCGUGAUGCAAAUGUUCAUGUGAAACAAAUAGAUUGCUUGAGAGUGAGACAAUGUGCAGGUAGUUCUACUUGCAAGAAGUAUUUGGCUUGAGAAACUAACUAUUUAGAAAAUCUUUAAAUCAUAAUUGCUCACAGAUUGAAUUUUGGCAGAUAAAAAGCGGAAGAGCACUGUUUUAAAAAUUACACUGCCAGUCGUAACAAGCUUGCUCAUAAUCAUAUGGGUGUGCCUUGUUUGGAUCUGCUGCUUGGGAGGUAGAACACAGUUCCAUACUUUUCUCCGUGUAUUUCCCUAGAGCAUGAUUGUGCAGGCCAAUGCUAUUCCAUAUUUCUAUGUGCUAUGUUCCUUUAUUAUAAUGUUUGCAUCAAUGUUCCUGAUAGGCAAACAAAGAGACAAGAAAAUUUGGAAGAAGCUGAUGUCAGGAACUUCGAGCACUUCAGUUGAACUUUGCGACGGAAACUUAAAGUAUCAUUCUAUUAGCUUCAAAGAAAUUGUACUUGCAACAAACAAUUUCUCUAACUCCGACAAGCUUGGACAUGGAGGUUUUGGCAAUGUUUACAAGGUAACGUGAAUUUUUAUCUUAUCGAGCAACAUAACUGUAUUUCCAUCUUGUUUGACCUAAAAAUGGAUGUGUCCAGGGAACGUUAGAAGAUGGUACAGAAAUUGCUGUGAAAAGGCUUAGGAAGGGUUCUGGCCAGGGGGUACUGGAGUUCAGAAAUGAAGUACUACUCAUUGCAAAGUUGCAGCAUAAAAACUUGGUUAGACUUCUCGGUUUCUGCAUCCAUGGAGAUGAGAAACUAUUAAUAUAUGAAUACUUACCUAACAGAAGUCUCGGCUUCUCGGCUUCUGUAGUGCCAUGCUUUUCGGUAUGUUCUGCUUACGUAUUGCCAAUUUCAGUAAGUCAUGAAAUCAACCAGAAUAACUGAUGCCAUCCCUCAAUUGAUGCUAUUGGUAGCAGAUGCCACAAGAAAAUCAAUGCUUAAUUGGCCAACAAGAUUCGAGAUAAUCAAAGGUGUAGCUAGAGGACUUCUUUAUCUUCAUCAAGAUUCAAGGUUGAAGAUAAUUCACAGGGAUCUCAAAGCAAGCAAUAUAUUAUUAGAUGCUGAAAUAAGCCCUAAGAUAUCUGAUUUUGGUAUAGCAAGGAUAUUUGGUGGCGAUCAGCAGCAAGAAAAUACCAACCGCGUUGUUGGCACAUAGUGAGUGAUAUACUGCAUGAGUGAUCUUUAUACAUUAUUCUUGUGUUUGACCAAAAUUAUGUUAUGUUCUCCUAACUGGGACAUUCUUGAAACAGCGGUUACAUGUCACCUGAAUAUGCUUUGAACGGAGUGUUCUCUGUCAAGUCUGAUGUAUACAGCUUUGGAGUUUUACUACUAGAGAUUGUGAGUGGCUCAAAGACCAGCUCUGUGCACCUAAAAGCAGACUUCCCAAGCAUUAUAGCCUCUGUAAGUACAAUGACAUGUUCGAAUUUCUGCAAGUAUAGUAAAUAUAUGCAUCUUUGAAGGGAUGAGAUAUGAUGAAUGCAGGCAUGGAGCUUAUGGAAGGAUGGGAACAUAAAGGAUUUUGUUGACUCGUCAAUGGUGGCGAGUUGUUCACCUGAUGAAACUGUACGGUGCAUCCAUAUAUAUUGGACUUUUGUGUGUUCAAGACAGCCCAAAUGCGCGGCCACUCGUGUCAUCAAUCGUGUCCUUUCUGGAGAAUGGAGAUAUAUCACUUCCACCUCCAAAAGAGUCUGUGUAUUUUGCUGAAAACAACAAUGGAAAUGAUGGAGCAGCAGAAAAUACUGUAAAUUCUGCAAAUAACAUGAGCAUUACAGUGGUAGAGGGACGCUAGUACUUAGCAGUCCAAUCUCUGUAUAUGCUGUGGGUACUUUUUACAACUGUAUACUGGAUAAGAAACUGGUAUUUUUGCAUUGAAGAACAAGAAGCUUUGUUUUAAUAUAGAGAAUGUAUUUCAUGUCCGGUAGCUCCAGCAAAUGGCGGAGAUCUAAAUGUUCGUAUUAAAGCAAAGUUAAAAAAGGCACGCCUAAGCGAGCGCUUAAGUGCGCCUAGGCUCUAGGCGCUAGCAAAACGCCAGCGCAUAACUGCGCUUAAUCUGCGCAUAAGCAUGCGCUUUGGUCAGAAAAGGGCAAGGCGGUGACAAAACGUACAAUUAACGUCUAGCGCUUUUUUGAACUAUGUAUUAAAGACCCUUCUCACCAAGAAUUUUGGAUGCAUAAAAGAAGGCAAGUUAACCAGUUAAAUUUUGUAUGCUUAAAAAAAGGUAGUAUAACUAUACAAGUGUAUAACCAAAUUUUGUUAUACUUAGAGAACGGGUACCACGCGCGGCCUCCCGGUCUGCCAUACUAUUUGUUAUAUGAACUAACAAUUAUCUACUAUCUAACACCAAGCCGAUUUUUUUUCUUAAUCUAGGCCAAUUGUUAUUUCGAUUGAGUAGAAUGUAUAUAUCUUAAUUUCGCAUGCAAUAUGUCUGUUAGUUACUAUGGAGUUUUUUUAUAAGCACGAGCAUUAAUCAGAUAGGUCACUUUAUUGUGUCAGACUAAACAACAUGUGUGAAGUUUGACAGAAAUCAUGUAGAAAAGCAACUUCAAAUCACAUUAGAAAAUAUACAAACGCUUAACUAGAAAAAAAAAAAGACAUCCUGUCGCACUGAUUGAAAGUGCGUAAAGUAUACUGUAAUAUAAGCCUUAACCAAACCAGUGCCAUCUGACCAGCAAUAAGAAACUUAUGUAGGAGAAUGUGAUGAACAACACUAAGAUUAUCCGUCACCUCUUUAUCGGGUUAAGCACUCUGCCGUCCCUCCUGUCCCCAUGCUUCAGCGUGCAACACACUUAUGGAGCUCUCUCCCUCUCCCUCUGUCUCUCUCUCUUCUUUCAAGGGAUUGAAAAUUGAAAAACAGGCCAGCAGCUGGUUUCUUCUUGCAGGCAUUUUCACAAACACCUUGUGCCCACUCUAGCUCGCUGCUCACGGUCACCAUCAUGCCAAAGGCACCACGACUCGCUCGUAGCAAAGUUCCAACCAAACGGCAUAUGGGCUCCGCUAAUCCACAUCGAAUAGGCUGUGAGAAAGAGUUAAUUGCAUAAAACCAUCACAUUUGGGACAUCGUUUGCAGAAAAUCACAAGGUUAUUAAUUUUUUGCAAAAACACCGCACAUUCAGUAAACUUUUUGUAAAAAGCAUUGAUCGAGUGAUUUAGGUCGUUUGAUCACUUUCUGACCAGUGGGGCCGAAUUGUCAGGAACUGACUUAGCAAAACAUUUACAUAUACACCCUUAGAUCUUAAAACAAAAAGCAAUCAACCCCUUCUCCCUCCCUCGCGGACAGAAGCUCACGUGCAGCGUCCACGGCGUGGACUUCGCGGAGGCAGCCGCCGGGAGCUCUGCCUUCAAGCCACGGCGGCGCCGGCCGGGAUGCCGUGGCCGCGCCUCGGCCGUCUGCCGGAGAUGCCCAGCGCCGCUCGACGCCGUGGAUGGGGGCCAACCUCCAUGCGCGUUCCUAGGGUCAUCUGUUGUGUUGGAGGAGCUCGCUCCCGUGGAUGCACGCGCCCAGGUGCCACCGGAGACUCGUCGGAUGUGACGCAGCUGCGAGUUCGUCGGCUGCUCGUGGGCAGGGGCGAGGCACUUCGAGCACGUCGGCACCCCCGUGGACAGGGAGGCGCCGGCGGCGAGGUCCGCGUGGAUUGGGGUGGCAGAUGCUCGGCGGAUCGAUCGAUCCACUCGAUCUCUGGAGCUUGGCGGCCGGACUUGAAGCGGAUACGAAGGCAGGCGGCGUAGGGGCGACUAAGGACGCCCGGAUCCGAUUGAUGGAGGCGGUUGGCGGAGCUCCGGCCCCGGCGGGGGUCCUUGGAUGUGGCCAUGAGCAAGGAACCACCGGCAACAAGCUCCUCUGUACACGCCGGCCAUGAGCUCGUACAGGUGGUUGGUGGCUCCCGUGUACACGGGUGAAGGAGAAGAUAACCUUAUCCUUUGAAUAUUUUACUUUUUCAUCCAUCACUUUUCUCUUAUUUACGGGAAAGCCCCGCUGUUCGUGUUUUUUUUACCAAAUCAGCUUCUUAUAUCGGGCCCCACUGUCAGAAAGCGAUCAAACUAGCUAAAUCCCCCUAUUAGUGCUUUUUGUAAAAGGUUUACUGAAUACGCGGUGGUUUUUGCAAAAAAUUAGUGACCUCGUGAUUUUCUAGAAACGAUGCCCCAAAUGUGAUGGUUUUUAUGCAAUUAACUCUCUGAGAAACAACUAGGUCCAUUCAUAAUUAAAGCCCUAAUUGAAUUGGCAUUUCAUGGCGCAAUACCCCUGUAAAAUAUAGACCUUUGUCGGUCGUUUUUAUUACCAGCACAAAAUCAAGUGUGGUAUGUAUUAUACACCUGUAAAAUAAAUACAGGUGUAUAAAAAUACCCCAUGCCAAGCGCGGCCUAAAGCGCGCACCUCUGAAGCUCUCGC